rnacentral:rRNA from 1 species
UACGAAGGGGGCUAGCGUUGCUCGGAAUCACUGGGCGUAAAGCGCACGUAGGCGGAUCUUUAAGUCAGGGGUGAAAUCCCAAGGCUCAACCUUGGAACUGCCUUUGAUACUGGGGAUCUCGAGUCCGGAAGAGGUGAGUGGAACUGCGAGUGUAGAGGUGAAAUUCGUAGAUAUUCGGAAGAACACCAGUGGCGAAGGCGACUCACUGGACACGUAUUGACGCUGAGGUGCGAAAGCGUGGGGAGCAAACAGG